GAGGAUGCGCACACACUCUGAGAAGCGCAACCCCAACAAGUUCUAUCUCUACCAUCGCGACCAUGGCCACGACACGGAGGAAUGCAUCCAGCUCCGAGACGAGAUCGAGGAGCUCAUCCGGCGAGGUCGACUCGAUAGGUUCAUUCGACGCCGGCCUGAGGGUAGAGAAGAUCGACCAAGGGCCCUGCCGCAACCUGAACCGCCAAGGAAGGAGGAGCAGCCCGGAGAUCGGCCUCCAAUCGGGACCAUCAACUCCAUCA
rnacentral:lncRNA from 1 species